AUUGAACGCUGGCGGCAGGCUUAACACAUGCAAGUCGAGCGAGCGGCGGACGGGUGAGUAAUAUCUGGGAACCUGCCUGAUGGAGGGGGAUAACUACUGGAAACGGUAGCUAAUACCGCAUACCAUCAGAUCUGCCCAUAUGGGAUUAGCUAGUAGGUGGGGUAAUGGCUCACCUAGGCGACGAUCCCUAGCUGGUUUGAGAGGAGGACCAGCCACACUGGGACUGAGACACGGUCCAGACUCCUACGGGAGGCAGCAGUGGGGAAUAUUGCACAAUGGGGGCAAGCCUGAUGCAGCCAGGCCGCGUGUGUGAAGAAGGCCGUCGGGUUGUAAAGCACUUUGAGCGGGGAGGCGGUACUCGCAGAAGAAGCACCGGCUAACUCCGUGCCAGCAGCCGCGGUAAUAC
rnacentral:rRNA from 1 species